rnacentral:rRNA from 1 species
CGAACUGAGUCAGGCAAGC